GACGAACGCUGGCGGCGUGCUUAACACAUGCAAGUCGAACGGAAGGGCCCUGCUUUUGUGGGGUGCUCGAGUGGCGAACGGGUGAGUAACACGUGAGUAACCUGCCCUUGACUUUGGGAUAACUUCAGGAAACUGGGGCUAAUACCGGAUAGGAGCUCCUGCUGCAUGGUGGGGGUUGGAAAGUUUCGGCGGUUGGGGAUGGACUCGCGGCUUAUCAGCUUGUUGGUGGGGUAGUGGCUUACCAAGGCUUUGACGGGUAGCCGGCCUGAGAGGGUGACCGGGGCCGCGGGAGGUGGGCCGCGGUCCUGGGGACUACGAGAGGCCGCAGUGGGGAAGGGGGGACAAUGGGGGAAAUUCUGACCAAGCGGGGGGGCGUGUGUGAAGAAGGCCCCGGGGUUGGAAAGCGGUCUUAGUGGUGAGAAACGGCUUUAGGUUGAUACGUAGCGGGGGUGACGUUAGGGGAAAAAAAAGCACCGGCUAACUUCGUG
rnacentral:rRNA from 1 species